GUGGAUUAGAUACCCUGGUAGUCCGCACAGUAAACGAUGUACACUAGGUGUCUGGCCAGAAGGCUGGGUGCCAAAGCAAACGUGAUAAGUGUACCGCCUGGGAAGUAUGCCCGCAAGGGUGAAACUCAAAGGAAUUGACGGGGGCCCGCACAAGCGGUGGAGCAUGUGGUUUAAUUCGAUGAUACGCGAGAAACCUUACCUGGGCUUGACAUAUACUGGAAGCAGCUGGAGACAGUUGCGCGUAGCAAUACGCCGGUAUACAGGUGCUGCAUGGCUGUCGUCAGCU
rnacentral:rRNA from 1 species